CUGCUGCUGCUUCUGGAGCAACAAGUGUCCACAGCGGUUCGUUUCGUUCGUUCCUCUUACCACCCACCCCCAUCGAACUUGAAGACCGAUGAAGAGCAAGCACAUGCAUCUCAGCUUGAGAUUUUGAGAUCGCUUCGCCUGCGAUGGAUGCCAGCUUAUCUCCUGCUUCCACAAGAUCGAUCGCCGUCACAGCUCAUUCUCUCUCCCACUCACUCGGUCGGUCCCUUUUCUCUGUCUCAUCGUCCUGUCUUAGCUCUCUCUCUCUCCCCGACUCCACUCCCAGCUCUCUCUCUCCGUUUGUAUUCCCCAUUCCAUCGCUGGCAACCUUCGGAGCAUCAGGAUCUACGGCUUCCCUUCCACAUUUCAUCGCCGGCAACACGAGGGAGUUUGGUCUAGGUUCUACGGCGUACCCUUUGCCGCCCUUCUGCUGGUAUCGCUUGGCCAUCCGUUUGAGCUGAAGGUACUGGCCCCGAUCCUAAUACACAAGCAUUGGUCCUUAUAUGUGUGGGAUUUUGAAAGGAAAAGGAUGAUAGUAUUGGAUCCAACGAGCAUGCAGCUUGAAAAAUAAGGAUGUAACAGAUUUAGCAAAAGUUGUGUUUUCAUAAGCACUUGAUGAUCACAAAUAUAUUUCGGAUUGCUUAUUUCUUCAACGUACAGCUAGACUUUACUAAGUGGUUUUGGUUGCAUGUCGUGUAACACGAGAUUUCAUUCUUUCUGAUGGCAAGUAUGGUUUGGACUGGUGUUGUAUGAGAUCAUGUAUUUACUUGCAAAGAAUUGUUCUUCUCAUAUUGGCUCUUAGA